AUUGAACGCUGGCGGCGUGCUUAACACAUGCAAGUCGAACGUGAAAGGGGCUUCGGCCCUAAGUAAAGUGGCGCACGGGUGAGUAACACGUGGAUAAUCUGCCCUUAUGAUCGGGAUAACAGUCGGAAACGGCUGCUAAUACCGGAUACGCUCAAAAUGAACUUUUUGAGGAAAGGUGACCUCUGCUUGCAAGUUACUGCAUGAGGAUGAGUCCGCGGCCCAUUAGCUAGUUGGUAGGGUAACGGCCUACCAAGGCAACGAUGGGUAGCCGAUUUGAGAGGAUGAUCGGCCACACUGGGACUGAAACACGGGCCAGACUCCUACGGGAGGCAGCAGUGGGGAAUAUUGCGCAAUGGGCGAAAGCCUGACGCAGCGACGCCGCGUGAGGGAUGAAGGUUUUCGGAUCGUAAACCUCUGUCAGAAGGGAAGAAACCGCACCGUGCUAAUCAGCGGUGAAUUGACGGUACCUUCAAAGGAAGCACCGGCUAACUCCGUGCCAGCAGCCGCGGUAAUACGGAGGGUGCAAGCGUUAAUCGGAAUUACUGGGCGUAAAGCGCACGUAGGCUGCUU
rnacentral:rRNA from 1 species